rnacentral:rRNA from 1 species
ACGGGUGAGUAAUACAUCGGAACGUAUCCUGGAGUGGGGGAUAGCCCGGCGAAAGCCGGAUUAAUACCGCAUACGCUCUGAGGAGGAAAGCGGGGGACCUUCGGGCCUCGCGCUCAAGGGGCGGCCGAUGGCGGAUUAGGUAGUUGGUGGGGUAAAGGCCUACCAAGCCGACGAUCCGUAGCUGGUCUGAGAGGACGACCAGCCACACUGGGACUGAGACACGGCCCAGACUCCUACGGGAGGCAGCAGUGGGGAAUUUUGGACAAUGGGGGCAACCCUGAUUCAGCAAUGCCGCGUGUGUGAAGAAGGCCUUCGGGUUGUAAAGCACUUUUGUCCGGAAAGAAAUCAUCGGGGCCAAUACCCCUGGUGGAUGACGGUACCGGAAGAAUAAGCACCGGCUAACUACGUGCCAGCAGCCGCGGUAAUACGUAGGGUGCGAGCGUUAAUCGGAAUUACUGGGCGUAAAGCGUGCGCAGGCGGUGCUGUAAGACCGAUGUGAAAUCCCCGGGCUUAACCUGGGAACUGCAUUGGUGACUGCAGCGCUGGAGUAUGGCAGAGGGGGGUGGAAUUCCACGU